rnacentral:rRNA from 1 species
ACCCGCUGAACUUAAGCAUAUCAGUAAGCGGAGGAAAAGAAACUAACUAGGAUUCCCCGAGUAGCGGCGAGCGAAAGGGGAGAAGCCCAGCGCCGAAGCCCGCGGCCCCAUGGUCGCCGUGCAAUGUGGCGUUUCGGCGGCGUCUCGCGGCGUCGGCUCCGGCACGAGUACCUCUGAAUGGGUCUGCCCGCAGCGGGUGUCAGGCCUCUACUUGCCGGAAGGAGCCGUCGCGGCCUGGCGUCGUCGCGGAGUCGGGUUGCUUGAGAGUGCAGCCCAAAGUGGGUGGUAAGCUCCAUCUAAGGCUAAAUACCUAGUGCGAGACCGAUAGCAAACAAGUACCGUGAGGGAAAGUUGCAAAGAACUUUGAAAAGAGAGUUCAAGAGUACGUGAAACCGUUCAGAGGCAAACGGACGGAACUGGGCGAGUUCGUCGCCGCCAUUCAGCCGGCCGGACCUCGCGGUCAGGCCGGUGCACUUGGCGGCGGCGGAGCGCGACGACCGUCUUCCGGGUCGUCGGAAGCCCGGCGGCAAGGUGGCGACGCGCUCGCGCGUCGUGUUACAGGCCGUCGAGGCGUUGGCUGACUCGGGGGGCGAGGAGCGCUGCGGCGCACUCGCGAGAGCGAGCGGCCCGACGCGGUGGGCUCGCGGCGGCCGGCGGCGAACUGCUCGCAGUUUGCUGCCGCGUCCGCUGCGUGUCGCGCCGCGCGGCGCCGGGUGCGCGCAGGGUCCGGGUCGUGUGGUUCCUGGCACUCCGUCCGACCCGUCUUGAAACACGGACCAAGGAGUUGAGCACGCGCGCGAGUCGAUGGGCGCGAAGAACCCCAAAGGCGCAGCUAAGGCAAAACGGGCGUGAUCCGGCACCCUGGGUGUCGGCGCAACGCCGGCCCGCGGCCAACUCGUUGCGAGUAGCCGCGGCGCAAGAGCGCGUGUGCUCAGACCCGAAAGGUGGUGAACUAUGCUUGAGCAGGGCGAAGCCAGAGGAAACUCUGGUGGAGGCUCGCAGCGAUCCUGACGUGCAAAUCGGUCGUCAAACUUGAGCAUAGGGGCGAAAGACUAAUCGAACCGCCUAGUAGCUGGUUCCCUCCGAAGUUUCCCUCAGGAUAGCUGGCACUCGGGAUAAAUGGUUUUAUCCGGUAAAGCGAAUGAUUAGAGGCAUUGGGGACGAAACGCCCUCAACCUAUUCUCAAACUUUAAAUGGGUAAGAGGCGCGGCCCUUCCUGAUCGGGGUCGCGUGCUCGAACAGAGAGUGCCCAGUGGGCCGUUUUUGGUAAGCAGAACUGGCGCUGUGGGAUGAACCAAACGUGCGGUUAGGGUGCCUAACGCACGCUCAUGAGACACCACAAAAGGUGUUGGUUGAUAUAGACAGCAGGACGGUGGCCAUGGAAGUCGGAAUCCGCUAAGGAGUGUGUAACAACUCACCUGCCGAAUCAACUAGCCCUGAAAAUGGAUGGCGCUGGAGCGUGCGACCCAUACCGCACCGUCGGGGCAACGCGUGCGAAAUGCCAGGCCCCGACGAGUAGGAGGGCGUGUCGGUGGCGUCGAAGCGUAGUGCGCGAGCACGCGUGGAGCCGCCUUCAGUGCAGAUCUUGGUGGUAGUAGCAAGUAUACAAAUGAGAACUUUGUAGACCGAAGUGGAGAAGGGUUCCAUGUGAACAGCAGUUGGACAUGGGUCAGUCGGCCCUAAGAGAUCGGAGAAUUCCGUUCUGAACGGGGGAGACGCGUCGCACGUCGUCCCGGCAGCUCCGCCAAAAGCCUGAGACCGCGCCCGCUCGCCACGUCGGACCUAACGAACCCACGAGUGCGUGGCGGCACAUAGCGGGCGUGACUGUCGUUUGAGGGCACCGGCCAGCGCCAGGACAACGAGGAGGCGUGCGCACGCGCUAGUCGAGCCCCGAUGCGAUCGAAAGGGAAUCGGGUUAAUAUUCCCGAACCUGGCAGUGGAGAUUGGGCCCUCGGGCCCCAGUGCGGUAACGCAACCGAACUCGGAGACGCCAGCGUCGAUCCCGGGAAGAGUUCUCUUUUCUUUGUUAGGAGCGGACUCCCUGGAAUUGGCUUGUCCAGAGAUAGGGACGUUGCAUCCGUAAAGCGUCGCGCCUCACGCGGCGUCCGGUGCAUCGGCGUUGGCCCUUGAAAAUCCGAGGGAGGCAGUGUAAUUUUCACUCCAGGCCGUACCCGAAUCCGCAGCAGGUCUCCAAGGUGCACAGCCUCUGGUCGAUAGAACAAUGUAGGUAAGGGAAGUCGGCAAAUCCGAUCCGUAACUUCGGGACAAGGAUUGGCUCUGAGGUGCGGGCUGCUUCGGGUCGCGGCAGGAAGCGGGCCGCGCGCUGGCUGGACUGGACGCGUUCGCGCGCGUUCGGACCGCCGCCAGCGCGCGUCCGUGGGCGGCCGUGGCUUUCGGCGGCGCGGGCGCGAGCCCGCGUCGCCCUCGUUCGGCCUAAACGCACAGCACAGAACUGGCACGGACUCUGGGAACACGACUGUCUAAUUAAAACAAAGCAUCG